rnacentral:rRNA from 1 species
UACGUAGGGUGCGAGCGUUAAUCGGAAUACUGGGCGUAAAGCGUGCGCAGGCGGUGAUGUAAGACCGAUGUGAAAUCCCCGGGCUUAACCUGGGAACUGCAUUGGUGACUGCAUCGCUCGAGUAUGGCAGAGGGGGUAGAAUUCCACGUGUAGCAGUGAAAUGCGUAGAGAUGUGGAGGAAUACCGAUGGCGAAGGCAGCCCCCUGGUCAAUACUGACGCUCAUGCACGAAAGCGUGGGAGCAAACAGG